CAGCGUGCCGGUCGGCUUAAAGCUUAGAGCCCCCGGUGCCGUUCAAUUUCAGCUCCCUUACAGGGAAAUGAAACCCGCCAAAGGACCAUCGACCCGUCCUGGACUGCGGUAAGAAGUCACAGUCUUCUUGCAGCAGCAGAAGCAGGCCAGUGCAGCCAGGAGGAGCAGCAGGAGCAGAGGGAUGCCGAUGCCCAGAACCAGGCCCAGAACAAGGUCCAGCUCCACAUCGCCCCCCUUGCCUCGCCCUGGAACAGGCCAGUCAGUGUUAAUAGACAGUACUCUCAGGACACUCUCCACAGGUGAACUGGUCGGGCUCUGUCUUCGACUGGCACUUCACCCCUCGGAAGCAGGGCUUGCCUUGACAUAUGUCUGAGGUGUUCCCACAGAACUUUCCAC